CCUCCCAGGUGAAGCAACAAGAUCGUGAAGGAGUAACUUGUGAAGGUAUCCGUAUUUCGUCUUCUUCCCGAAUCCUCUAGCCAAUAUUUCUGAGAGAGAGCGGCGAUUGAGUGUCAAGGAAAGAAUGGACAUGGUUCGUGGAGGACGAGAGGAACUGGACGAAGUGCUGAGGGAUGGAGACUGGAUCUCUAGCGUCCUCGCAAGACCAAGAGCACAGCGGCAAGCGGGUGGCGAGCAUUGGGUCUGGAGAUCACAUGGGGACAGUCGUAGGUAAGCCGUCUAGUCUGACUUUACGACAAGGAACAAUGGCUUGUACCUGCACUGAGCCUCCCCGGUGAUCCUCUGGCCAACGUCUCCACAGCAACGCGACAGUCACCACCACAACCACCAUCACCACCACCAACAACCACCGCCACCACCAACAACUACCACCAUAAUUUAACAGCAAUUCUCCACGGCCACCUGAAUCCACCACAGCGGAAAUUUGUGCGUGAUGCGUCUUUGGCAGCCACGCACCGCAGGUCAGCCAAGCCAAACACCGUGACGGCAGUGGUAACAGGGGUGGCGAGCCUAUUAAUACCCGCAUAAUGAAUGGAGGAUAGUGGUAAAAUACUGCC